UACGUAGGGGGCAAGCGUUGUCCGGAAUCAUUGGGCGUAAAGCGCGUGUAGGCGGCCAGAAAAGUCCGCUGUGAAAACUCGAGGCUCAACUUCGAGCUGUCGGUGGAAACUUUCUGGCUAGAGUCCGGAAGAGGAGAAUGGAAUUCCUGGUGUAGCGGUGAAAUGCGCAGAUAUUGCUCGGAAGGCCAACGGCGAAGGCAGGUUACUGGUACGCAACUGACACUGAGGCACGAAAGCGUGGGGAGCAAACAGG
rnacentral:rRNA from 1 species